rnacentral:misc_RNA from 1 species
AAGUCGUAACAAGGUCUCCGUAGGUGAACCUGCGGAGGGAUCAUUCACAUGAUUUACUUUAUAAACAAACUGUGAACUUUUAUUUUAACUAUUCGUAGAUUUUAUUUUAACUAAUUUGGUUAUUAUUUUCUACUGUCAUUCGAUGAACAUUAGAUGACUGGAUAUAUUAUACUUCAAAAAGUAUAAUCUUUCUCAGUUGAUUUGUUGUAUUGAUUAAACAUCUUACAACAAUCACCAAAAAUCAUAGAAA